rnacentral:rRNA from 1 species
CCUACGGGAGGCUGCAGUGGGGAAUAUUGGACAAUGGGGGGAACCCUGAUCCAGCCAUGCCGCGUGUGUGAAGAAGGCCCUCGGGUUGUAAAGCACUUUCAGUGAGGAAGAACGCCUGGUGGUUAAUACCCAUCAGGAAAGACAUCACUCACAGAAGAAGCACCGGCUAACUCCGUGCCAGCAGCCGCGGUAAUACGGAGGGUGCGAGCGUUAAUCGGAAUUACUGGGCGUAAAGCGCGCGUAGGUGGCUUGAUAAGCCGGUUGUGAAAGCCCCGGGCUCAACCUGGGAACGGCAUCCGGAACUGUCAAGCUAGAGUGCAGGAGAGGAAGGUAGAAUUCCCGGUGUAGCGGUGAAAUGCGUAGAGAUCGGGAGGAAUACCAGUGGCGAAGGCGGCCUUCUGGACUGACACUGACACUGAGGUGCGAAAGCGUGGGUAGCAAACAGGAUUAGAUAUCCCGGUAGUC